rnacentral:rRNA from 1 species
GCCAGACUCCUACGGGAGGCAGCAGUGGGGGAUAUUGCACAAUGGGGGGAACCCUGAUGCAGCGACGCCGCGUGGGUGAAGGAGUAUUUCGGUAUGUAAAGCCCUAUCGGCAGGGAAGAAGCAAGACGGUACCUGACUAAGAAGCCCCGGCUAACUACGUGCCAGCAGCCGCGGUAAUACGUAGGGGGCGAGCGUUAUCCGGAUUCACUGGGUGUAAAGGGAGCGUAGACGGCCAAGCAAGCCAGGGGUGAAAGCCCGGGGCCCAACCCCGGGACUGCCCUUGGAACUGCUUGGCUGGAGUGCGGGAGGGGCAGGCGGAAUUCCUGGUGUAGCGGUGAAAUGCGUAGAUAUCAGGAGGAACACCGGCGGCGAAGGCGGCCUGCUGGACCGCGACUGACACUGAGGCUCGAAAGUGUGGGUAUCAAACAGGAUUAGAUACCCCGGUAC